rnacentral:rRNA from 1 species
GUCCUACGGGGGGCAGCAGUGAGGAAUAUUGGUCAAUGGGCGAGAGCCUGAACCAGCCAAGUCGCGUGAAGGAUGACGGCCCUACGGGUUGUAAACUUCUUCUGUCAGGGAGCAAUUGAGUCCACGUGUGGUCUUAGCGAGAGUACCUGAAGAAAAAGCAUCGGCUAACUCCGUGCCAGCAGCCGCGGUAAUACGGAGGAUGCGAGCGUUACCCGGAUUUAUUGGGUUUAAAGGGUGCGUAGGCGGAAUAUCAAGUCAGCGGUAAAAAUUUCGGG